GGGGGGGGGGGGGGGGGGGGGUGGGGCGUGCGGGGCGGGGGGGCGGGCGGGAGGGUUGCGUCUCUGCUGUUGGCGGGGGAGGGGUGCGUACCACGUGGAUACCCUCCCUAUACGGCUGGGAUCGCUUCGGGAAACCGGGGCGCAUGACGGAUAAUAUUUUGAGCCGCAUGGUUACACCGUGAACGCCGGUCUUUGUGUCACUUAUCUAUGGCUCUGCGCUGCGUUAGCUAGUUGGUAAGGUCCCGGCUUACCAAGGCAACGAUGCAUAGCCGACCUGAGAGGGUGAUCGGCCACACGGGAACUGAGACACGGUCCAGACUCCUACGGGAGGCAGCAGUAGGGAAUCUUCCGCAAUGGGCGAAAGCCUGACGGAGCAACGCCGCGUGAGUGAUGAAGGUCUGCGGAUCGUAAAACUCUGUUAUUAGGGAAGAACAUAUGUGUAAGUAACUGUGCACAUCUUGACGGUACCUAAUCAGAAAGCCACGGCUAACUACGUG
rnacentral:rRNA from 1 species